GCCCCGCCCCACUGCCCGCUGGCCCUUCCGCUUCACUCAGCGGCGCCAGGGAGCAGGACGGGCACCGGGGCCAUGGAGAGGACAGCGGGCAAAGAGCUGGCCCUGGCGCCGCUGCAGGACUGGGGCGAGGAGACCGAGGAUGGCGCCGUGUACAGCGUCUCCCUGCGGCGGCAGCGCAGCCAGCGCUCGACCCCAGAGAGGUCUGGAGAAGGCCAGACCCCCAUCCCGGCUACCGACACCUUCCUUCAUUACCGAACCAGCAAGGUGCGGGCGCUGAGGGCCGCCCGACUGGAGCGGCUGGUGCAUGAGUUGGUGUCCGGAGACCGCGAGCAGGAUCCUGGCUUCGUGCCUGCCUUCCUGGCCACCCACCGGGCCUUUGUACCCACAGCCCGCGUUUUGGGUUUUCUGCUACCCCCGCCACCGCCGCCGCCACCACCUCCUGCUGGGGUAGACAGCAAGAGGACAGAGGGACAAGAUCUGAACUUCAGCAAGAACCUGAGGGCUGUAGUUUCGGUGCUGGGUUCUUGGCUGCGAAAUCAUCCUCAGGACUUCCGGGAUCCCCCUGAUCAUCAGAACCUAGGCAAUGUCCGAAUCUUUUUGGGCUGGGCAGCCCCAGGAGGGGCAGAAGCCAGGGAAGCAGAGAAACUUCUAGAAGAUUUCUUGAAGGAGGCUAAGGGAGAGCAGACAGAGGAGGAAAAGCGACUGGCUUGGUCAGGCCCUCCUAGGAUUGCCCAGACCCCCGGAUCGGAGUUUGCGGAGGACUGUGUGGAAGAGGAAGGCCCCAGUUCAGAAGGCCCAGAGCUCCUGGACUUCAGCGUGGAUGACGUGGCAGAGCAGCUGACCCUUAUGGAUGUGGAGCUCUUCUUGCGCGUGAGGUCCUGCGAAUGCCUGGGUUCCAUGUGGUCUCAGCGCGACCGGCCAGGAGCUGCAGGCAUCUCUCCCACAGUGCGUGCCACCGUAGCCCAGUUCAAUACGGUGACCGGCUGCGUGCUGGGCUCGGUGCUCGCUGCGCCCGGCCUGGCGGCCUCGCAGAGGGCACAGCGCAUCGAAAAAUGGAUUCGCAUCGCCCAGCGGUGCAGGGAACUACGAAAUUUCUCUUCAUUGCGAGCGAUCCUGUCCGCCCUGCAAUCUAACCCCAUCUACAGACUCAAGCGCAGCUGGGGAGCUGUGAGCCGGGAACCGCUGUCUGUUUUCAGGAAACUGUCACAGAUUUUUUCUGAUGAGGAUAACCAUCUCAGCAGCCGAGCGAUUCUUUCCCAGGAGGAGACCACUGAGGAUGAUGACUGCCCCUCAGGAAGUCUGCCAUCAGUAAGCAAAACUGCCCCCGGGUCCUGUCCCCUACCUUGGCACCUUCCUCACAGACUUGGUUAUGCUGGAUACAGCCUUACCGGAUACGUUGAAGGUUUGACCUCCCACCCUUGACUCUUGACCCCUGACCUAUUAUCCCCAACACAACAGUUCUCCAGACAUCCAGCUUUGAUCUAGCUUGAACUCAUAUUUCCCUCCACCCCCGCUUACCAUAGAGACUUGUGCCACCCUAGCUCUUAAGCUUGACUUUUGACCCUUGACCCUUGACCCUGGAUACUAUAGCUCAAGCCAGCUUUGCCCCCUCAGGGAAACCUCAUCAACUUUGAAAAGAGGAGGAAGGUAAGUGGGAGGGUGUUGGGGAUGGGUGAGAUGCCCAAGGGUGGGAGGCAGGCUGAGGCAGGAUCUCAGUAGACACCCCCCCAGGAGUGGGAGAUCCUGGCCCGAAUCCAGCAGCUACAGCAACGCUGCCAGCGCUACAGCCUGAGCCCCCGCCCGCCAAUCCUGGCUGCACUUCGAGCCCAGCGCCAGCUCAGCGAGGAGCAAAGCUACCGAGUCUCCCGUGUUAUUGAGCCACCAGCUGCCUCCUGUCCCAGCUCCCCUCGUAUCCGGCGACGCAUCAGCCUCACAAAGCGUCUCAGUGCGAAGCUGUCCCGAGAGAAGAACUCAUCUCCUGGCGGGAGUCCCGGGGAUCCGUCCUCACCUACCUCCAGUGUGUCUCCAGGUUCACCCCCAUCCAGCCCUAGAAACCGAGAGCCUCCUCCUCCGGGCAGUCCUCCAGCCUCCCCAGGGCCUCAGAGCCCCAGCACCAAGCUCUCCCUGACCAUGGACCCACCAGGGCCCUGGCCCGUGACCUUGACUCCGAGCAGCUCCCGAGUUCCCCUCCUCGGGCAGCAGACGUCAGAGGCCCGCGUCAUCAGAGUCAGCAUCAACAAUAACCACGGGAACCUGUAUCGGAGCAUCUUGCUUACUUGUCAGGACAAAGCCCCCAGCGUGGUGCAAAGAGCCCUGGAGAAGCACAAUGUGCCCCAGCCCUGGGCCCGUGACUACCAGCUCUUCCAGGUCCUGCCUGGGGACAGAGAGCUCCUGAUUCCAGACGGUGCCAACGUCUUCUACGCUAUGAGCCCAGCUGCCCCUGGUGACUUCUUGCUUCGUCGGAAAGAGGGGACAGGACAUACACUGUCUGCCUCCCCAACCUGAGGUGGUGCUCUCCUUGUUCUGGGCCAGAGGCACAGCUGAUAGCUUGGAACUUGGAUUCUACUACUAUCAAAGUAGGGGCCUAUUUUCUGGAGAGCCUCCACCCCCACUCAUGGAAGCUAUUUUGCUCUGUACCCCGGGGAUCCCCAGCAUUAGGCCAUUGGACCCCAUCUCUCUGACUCCCUGAGCCCCUCCCUGCCCAUUAUUCUAAGACCAUGGAUGUGUGAGGAGAGUGUAAAACUAGGAAAAAUUAAGAACCCAUAGAGCUGGGAGCUUAGCUUAGGUGGGCGAGCACCUGCCUAGCAGGCCCCAGACCCUGGAUGGUUUCUCAGCACUUCUAAAAAUAAAAGUCUUCAGGGGUUUUGCACUUCGGUCACAUCCUAACAUCCAGGACUUUGAGAUCCAGCACUGAGCAUAACCAACGAGGUGAUGCUCACCCACAAUCCCAGAGCUUGGGGGAGGGGGAGGAGGGACGGAUCAGGACAGUCAUCUUUGGCUACAUAGUGAGUGCAAGGCAAACCUGGGCUACAUCAUGAAACCCCAUUCAAAACAGAAAACUCCCGAGAAGAGGUUGGGGAAAUCCUAAGGGAAGUUCAGGGUUUCCUUGCCCACAGAUUCAGGAGGGGCGGUCCUGCUUUUCUGUCACAUUCGUGGAUAAAUGGGAAGAGGGAAAAGGUUAUCCAUCCCUUGCAAAUACAGACAGUGAGAAACUGGG